AUGAAGAAUUAGAUUUUUAAAGUAUGUUUAAAUUCUUACUCAGGUGAGCUCUAAAGAAAAGAUGAAGAGAUUACUUGUAACUACUACUAAAGCAAUGAGAAAAAUAAUUGUAGAUUAUAUCAACUAAAAGAUCUAGGACUUUUGAAUCCACUAGACUAAUGAAAUAGAUAGUCUUUCUAUGAUUUUUUUAUGAUGUCUCUUAAUUAAGGUGUA
rnacentral:lncRNA from 1 species